rnacentral:rRNA from 1 species
UACGUAGGGUGCAAGCGUUGUCCGGAAUUAUUGGGCGUAAAGAGCUCGUAGGCGGUUUGUCGCGUCGAAUGUGAAAACCCGGGGCUCAACUCCGGGCCUGCAUUCGAUACGGGCAGACUAGAGUUCGGUAGGGGAGACUGGAAUUCCUGGUGUAGCGGUGAAAUGCGCAGAUAUCAGGAGGAACACCGGUGGCGAAGGCGGGUCUCUGGGCCGAUACUGACGCUGAGGAGCGAAAGCGUGGGGAGCGAACCGG